rnacentral:lncRNA from 1 species
AUGGAGCUCAGUGCUGGGGUCCUGUCUCCCUGUAUUGGUGCAGCCUUGCCCUGGGCCGUGUCCUGGACCAGCAGCUUCCACCCUGGGCAAUCAGAGAACCAUGGGAACAUUAAGGUUGCAGAGAAAAAAACCUCUCUGCAUCCCAGCAAACGCCACCGUGCCCACAUCCCUCAGUGCCACAUCCCUGCAGCUCUGGAACACCUCCAGAGAUGGUGAUCCCACUGCUCCCUGGGCAGCUGUGCCAGUGCAGCACUGCUCUUAUGAGCCUGAAAUUGUUCCUAAUACCUAACCUGAGAUGCAGGGGUUGAUGCCAGCUGCUGUUGGCUUUUUGGCUUUGCUUACAGUUGUCCCAGCGCAGCUGCACCUCUCCUUCAAACCCACUGUGAUGUACAGCAGGCACCACGGGUGGGACAUCAAACCCCACCAAGGCCUACUGGGAGCUGCAGGUGUGAGAAAAGGGGAGCUGCGUGGGAGCUGCUGCUUCUGCUGGUUUGGCUCAGCUCUGUCCUGAAUGGUGCAUGGAUUUCCAAGAAGAACACGGCCAACUGCAGAACCUGGAGCUGGCUGGCGGUGGAACCAGCGGAUCUCAUACACGUGGGCUGCCGGAUGAGAGGCAGAGGAAUGGCCACACUGAUCCCAUACCAUGAAAGGAUGGCUGCUCGCCUUCAGCGAUGUCAGGAAAUGCUGAGGAACCAGAAAAUGAGCAUGAGAUGCUCCCAGCUGCUCAGUUCCUGCUCUCCCUGUUCAGCUCUUCCACCCGACCGAUUCACGUGCCUCCAGAAUUGAACCUUGAACACCGUUUCCACCCCUCUGUGCAUGUGAAACAGCAAUCUGGAAAACACAUUGGUGUUUUAAUAGCGUUUCUGGGUAACCCUCUUGUACCGUAGGUAUAGCCAAAACAAGGAGAAAACCCCUCAGGGCUGCGAAACCUAAGGACAAAUGCCGAUGGGGAGGCUUCUGCUGACCUCGCUGGGAGCUGGACCGAUGCCUGGUGGCAGACAAAGGCUGUGUGAGUGGGGUGUGCUCACCCCAGCCCUGUUCUUCCUAUGGUGUUGGGGCCCAGGGUAUGUAUUUCCCCCCCUGGCAAUGGGCAGACUUGGAUGGGUUGGACGUUGCGCAGCUCUCUCCCUUCUCUGGUUUCAGCUCGGUUGUUAAACCCAGUAAUAUGCGCAAUAAUCUGCCUGUCUGGGAUUAAUAUAACGUUAUAUGUUUCUUGAAAGCCUUUCUGAUCCCGCAGUUAAUUUAAUCUUUUAUUAACAUUAACGAGCUCAUGUGGUGUCCAGCAAGCCUGGGGAGAAUGCUUUCCAAUACCAACAGAUGACAAAGAGAUGAAAAUAUAAUAGCAGAUGAAUUCCUCCUUCACCGCAAAGGCAGCGAGGAGGGCAGAGCAGAGCCUCCUGCUCAGCAGAGCACGUACUGCUCGCUAACGUGAGCUGCCAGGAAGCAGUGCUCGUUGUUGAGGCUUUGAAAUGGCAAAGGGAGAGAUUACUGAGAGGCGUAUCUCUGGCCGAGGAGCAGUGCGCACUUAGCAGCUAUCAGCGCCCAAGUGCCAAAAGGAAAACGUUAACCUCCCUGGUGCCAAAGAGGCUCUGUGGAUCCAUUCUUUGGCCUCAGUGCAACGUUAUAAAACAGAAAUAAUGGCAGUCU